GAUGAAGAACGCAGCGAAAUGCGAUACGUAGUGUGAAUUGCAGAAUUCAGUGAAUCAUCGAAUCUUUGAACGCACAUUGCACCUCUCGGCAUUCCGGGAGGUAUGCCUGUUCGAGCGUCAUUUGUACCCUCAAGCUCUGCUUGGUGUUGGGUGUUUGUUCCGCCUCUGUGUGUGAACUCGCCUCAAAACAAUUGGCAGCCGGCGUACUUGUUUCGGAGCGCAGCACAUUUUGCGAUCCAGAUCAACGUACAGCGGCAUCCAAGAAGCCUUAUUUAACGCUCUUGACCUCGGAUCAGGUAGGGAUACCCGCUGAACUUAAGCAUAUCAAUAAGCGGAGGA
rnacentral:misc_RNA from 1 species